rnacentral:rRNA from 1 species
AAGUCGGAACCCGCUAAGGAGUGUGUAACAACUCACCUGCCGAAUGAAUUAGCCCUGAAAAUGGAUGGCGCUUAAGCGGGUGGCCGACACCACACCGUGUGACCGAGCUUUGGUGUUACAUGAGUAGGAGGGCGUGGCGGGCGUGGCGAAGCAUGGGCGCGAGCCUGUGUGGAACGGUCCGCUAGUGCAGAUCUUGGUGGUAGUAGCAAGUAUUCAAGCGAGAACCUUGAAGGGCGAAGCGGGGAAGGGUUCCACGCGAACAUUGAUUGGGCGUGGGUGAGUCGUUCCUAAGCCGAGUGGCAAUGGCUAAGUAUUUUGUGCGAAAGGGAAGCGGGUUGAAAUUCCCGCACACGGAUGUGGAGAGCGGUGACGCGAGAUGGUGGCGAACACGCUGGCGACGGCGCUGGGCAGAGUUGUCUUUUCUGUUUGACCGAGUGUGCGAGCUGUGUGGAAUCCGCUUGUCGGGAGAAACACGCCUGCACGGGCAGAGCGCUGGGGCUUUUCCAGCGUCCAGCUCGCCGUCGACGGCCCUUGAAACUUCGUCUGCUGAAUAAUUUUUUAUAUAAAAUCCACGCCGUGGCGUACCGAUCACCGCAUCAGGUCCCCAAGGUGAACAGCCUCUGCUCGAUAUGAACAAUGCAGGUAAGGGAAGUCGGCAAAUUGGACCCGUAACUUUGGGAAAAGGGUUGGCUCUAGUGCUGCGUGGGAGAGGUUGUCUGUGUGUGGGGGCGGAGGGUGGACCGGCUUGGCGCGGGGCCCGGGCAACUGGGACCUGUUCUGGGCUGUCUACUCACUGCCUUCCGCCGCGGACGACGCCCACGGCAUGCAGCAGACUAGAACUGCAACGGGCAAAGGGAAUCCGACUGUUUAAUUAAAACAAAGCAUUGAUAAGGCC